AUUGAACGCUGGCGGCAGGCCUAACCCAUGCAAGUCGAGCGAGCGGCGGAAGGGUGAGUAAUGUAGGGGGACUGCCCGAGAGAGGGGGAUAACUACUGGAAACGGUAGCUAAUACCGCAUACUAACGGAUAACCCAUAGGGGAUUAGCUAGUAGGUGAGGAAAUGGCUCACCUGGGCGGCGAUCCCUAGCUGGUCUGAGAGGAUGAUCAGCCACACUGGGACUGAGACACGGCGCAGACUCCUACGGAGGCAGCAGUGGGUAAUAUUGCACUAUGGGCGCAAGCCUGAUGCAGCCAUGCCGCGUGUAUGAAGAAGGCCGUAGGGUUGUAAAGUCCUUUCAGUCGGGAGGCGUUACCGACAGAAGAGGCACCGGCUAACUCCGUGCCAGCAGCCGCGGUAAUUC
rnacentral:rRNA from 1 species